rnacentral:miRNA from 1 species
UAGCCAUUUGCUUGAAGGUCA